UUUACUAAAUAAAAUGGCCCGUAACAAGGUUUCAUUACAUAGUAUCUGACCUUAUCAGCUUAAAAUCUGAUAUUAAACUGAUUUUUGGAACCAAAUGGGGUGCUCGAUCGGAGCUUGCUCCACUCCUGUCACGGAUUGGCCUGGUAUUGCAGUACAUCCAGGAUCGGCCCUCUCCCU
rnacentral:snRNA from 1 species